UUGGGUUAGUUUUCCGGGCUUGUGGUUGACAGAAAUCACCGCGGAUAUAUACAAAGUUCCUGAAGUUCCUGAAACUGGAAAACAAUAGAAAUUGAUGGAAUUGAUGCUGUUUCUGGAGGCUUGAAGGUUUAUCUGCUUGCUGACCACACUGGUGCAUUGUUGACCUCUUAUUAGUGGUAUACCGCACCAUCUUUGUCGAUUGGGAAUUCGAUGGAAGUGUUGAAUUCCUGGGUAUGAUGUGGUGCAAGCUUUAGUUGACUUAUAAAGCUAAUCUUGUUAAUUAUAAUUAUUUUUAGUCAUGUUUUUUUUUUUUUUUAAUUGGAAUAAAAUUGUACAGAGAAAAAAUGGCAGGAUGUUGCUAGAAGUAAAUGCUUUAAUAUAUUGAACUUGUUUUUAUGAGUAAGCUAUGGCAUUCUGGUCAUGUGUUAUCUUGUUGAUAAACUCCUGAUAUUUGGCUAAAUGCUCAUUUUCAAGCUUUAGGAAGCAUCUAAUGGUGGAAUGUGAUGCUUGGCUAUAUGUCAAAUUUAUAUUUGACAA